GACCAACGCUGGCGGCAUGCCUAACACAUGCAAGUCGAACGGACAGAACAGGGAAGCUUUUCGGAGUGGAACUGGAAAGUUGGUGGCGGAUGGGUGAGUAACGCGUGGACAACCUACCUUGUAAAGGGGAAUAACCUCGAGAAAUCGAAGCUAAUACCCCAUAAUAACCUUGCUUCGCAUGAAGUAAGGAGGAAAGGCGGCCUUAGCGCUGUCGAUACAAGAUGGGUCCGCGUCUGAUUAGCUAGUUGGUGAGGUAAAGGCUCACCAAGGCGACGAUCAGUAGCCGGCCUGAGAGGGUGAACGGCCACAUUGGGACUGAGACACGGCCCAAACUCCUACGGGAGGCAGCAGUGGGGAAUCUUCCGCAAUGGGCGAAAGCCUGACGGAGCAAUGCCGCGUGAGUGAAGAAGGCCUUCGGGUUGUAAAACUCUGUCCUUAUCGAAGAGAGAGUGUUGUAGUAACUGACAAUACUAGGACGGUAGAUGAGGAGGAAGCCCCGGCUAACUAUGUG
rnacentral:rRNA from 1 species